rnacentral:tRNA from 1 species
CGCAGGAUGGAGAAGCGGUAUCUCGCUACGCUCAUAACGUAGAGAUCGAGGGUUCGAGUCCCUCUCCUGCUACCA